CGUAGGGUGCGAGCGUUAAUCGGAAUUACUGGGCGUAAAGCGUGCGCAGGCGGUUUUGUAAGACAGAUGUGAAAUCCCCGGGCUCAACCUGGGACCUGCAUUUGUGACUGCAAGGCUAGAGUACGGUAGAGGGGGAUGGAAUUCCGCGUGUAGCAGUGAAAUGCGUAGAUAUGCGGAGGAACACCGAUGGCGAAGGCAAUCCCCUGGACCUGUACUGACGCUCACGCACGAAAGCGUGGGGAGCAAACAGGAUUAGAUACCCUGGUAGUCCACGCCCUAAACGAUGUCAACUGGUUGUUGGGUCUUUACUGACUCAGUAACGAAGCUAACGCGUGAAGUUGACCGCCUGGGGAGUACGGCCGCAAGGUUG
rnacentral:rRNA from 1 species